UGUAAGGCUGAUCCUAGUGGGAGUAACAUAACUGAUCAAUACCCACUUUACACACGUUUUCAAAUACAUUUGGUGGUGAUCAUGUUUGAAUUUGGCAAAUUUGAAUUUGAAUUUAAAUUAUUUGAACCAGAAAAGCUUAAAUUACGCAUUUAACAUCACAUUUACAUUUAUAUGCAGAUUUGAUGCGAAAAGUCACCUUUUAUCUACAUUAUGCUGCAUCAGGGACUAAAAGAGAAAAAAAGAAAAGAGAACAAAACGCAACUAAGCAAAAAGUAGAGAAGAACACGUUAGAAGUUGUACUCAGAUGCAAAAGGAUGCAAAAAGAAGAGGAUCUGCUUAUGUGUCAAGGAAGAAUUAGAAAGGGACAAAGUGCAUAAGCUAAAGUUGAUGUUGACAUGUUCAUGCACCCAUUAGAGAGGGCCAAGGAAAAAAGCAUAAAGAAAGGCAGCCUCUCUCUCUCUCAGGCAUCCACCACCUGCACUCCAC
rnacentral:lncRNA from 1 species